GAUGAAGAACGUAGUGAAAUGCGAUAAGUAGUGUGAAUUGCAGAAUUCAGUGAAUCAUCGAAUCUUUGAACGCACAUUGCGCCCUUUGGUAUUCCUUAGGGCAUGCCUGUUCGAGCGUCAUUUAAACCUUCAAGCUAAGCUUGGUGUUGGGUGACUGUCCGCCUCACGGCGGACUCGCCUCAAAAUUAUUGGCGGCCGGUACAUUGGCUUCGAGCGCAGCAGAAACGCGAACUCGGGCCCGUCGUAUUGGCUCCCAGAAGCUAUCUUCACAAUUUUGACCUUGGAUCAGGUAGGGAUACCCGCUGAACUUAAGCAUAUCAAUAAGCGGAGGA
rnacentral:misc_RNA from 1 species